rnacentral:rRNA from 1 species
UAAGGAAUAUUGGUCAAUGGACGCAAGUCUGAACCAGCCAUGCCGCGUGAAGGAAGACGGCCCUACGGGUUGUAAACUUCUUUUGUACGGGAAAAAAUCUCCGGUCGUGAAUCGGAGCUGAUGGUACCGUAAGAAUAAGCAUCGGCUAACUCCGUGCCAGCAGCCGCGGUAAUACGGAGGAUACAAGCGUUAUCCGGAUUCAUUGGGUUUAAGGGGUGCGCAGGCGGAAUGAUAAGGCAGUGGUGAAAUCCUACGGCUCAACUGUAGAACUGCCAUGGAUACUGUCGUUCUUGAGUACACUUGGGGUGGGCGGAAUGUGUCAUGUAGCGGUGAAAUGCUUAGAUAUGACACAGAACACCGAUCGCGAAGGCAGCUCACUAAAUUGUAACUGACGCUCAGGCACGAAAGCGUGGGGAUCAAACA